rnacentral:lncRNA from 1 species
GAAGCCAGGCCAAGAAGAAUCCCAGGACUGGAAGGCCUUGUGGGACGUCCCAGGUUUGUCUUGUGUCAAUAGCACUGAUACUCAAUCUCCUACUCCCAUCUGUGAGCAUGCAGACCCUACUUGCCUUCCCACAGCCUCCCUUUUCAUAUUUUUCAUGUUUCUUUAGCUCUGUCUUCAAGCCUUGUUGCUCCCGCAAAAAAACCUGCCUCUUCCUCCAGUCCUCCCAAGCAGGGGGAACAGUCCUGACACCUUUCCAAGCCCUGGUCCAUGGACAUUGUGCCCCCUUCUCCCUGCCCAUGGUGACCUGCUCCAAAACCCUCAAGGAGAAGGGAGUGUAUGUCAUUUCCUCCCUGUAAAGUAAAGAUAAUUUUGCAGGGGACUGUGUGGAUGAAAUGACAUGAUGCAUGGAAAUCCCUUAGCGUGUGCCUGGCAUGUAAACUGCAGGUGUCAUCAUUAUUACUGAGGAAUACUGAGUCCCGAACAUGGCUGUCUCAUUGGUGGACUGGGGUCUCCCCCAGGGCAUUCAUCUACUAUGUGUUUAUUGCACCCUUUUUCCAUGUGAGGCACAUGCCAGGGACUGGGCACAUGGUAUGAACAAGACACAGGUCAUCGGUGUCCUCUUGAGCUCCCUGGCUUGGCAGCAGAUGCAUACCUGGGAAGGAUGCUAGGUCAUCCGGGAACUCUACCUCCUUCAAAUCCCUAAGGACUGUGCUCCCAAUCCGCUUACGCUCAAGGAAGAACUGGUUGUUCACCACGGAGGGAUGCUCCACUGAGGGGGUGAAGCUGUAUGCCUGAAGGGCUGUGUCUACCUAGACGGACAUUCUCUUUCUAAUUGUGACAGAGGCCCUUUAUAGAUUAGCAGUGGCCCUGUGUAUUUCGGGAACUAAAGGGAAAUGGAAAGAUGUUCACAAAAUCUGUCCCACAGGUCAGCCCUAGGUGCAGCUGCAACCUGAGGGACUUGUCCUGGGAUCAGACAUUUUGAGGACUUUCUUGACCCUUGGCUGAUAUCCUUGCAGGCAGGACCUGCAGCUAAGCAAGACGUAGGACUGCAAGCUGGGUUGGCACCCUCCCCCUAGGGAGUUCUCCAGGCCUUGCCCCCUCUGUCCCCAGCCUGGAAGCCCUCCCUGGUACCAUACCCCAGCCGAUGAGUAUGUACCCCCAGAAGUACUUCCGCUCAGAGAAGAAGGAGACGGCAAGCAGGGUGUACAGGCCCAGAACCAGCCUGCUGUCAGGAUCAGAACAAAAGAGGAGGACUGCAUAUGUAUGGACCCACUCCAGAUGGCACGGGGACGGGGGGAGUAGGAAAAGUGGCAUGAUGAGGAAAUGGAGGCACAGACUGAUUAGAAAACCAGCUCAAGGUCAUGUUGCUGCUCUCUCAUUCCUGUUGAGGGCUCUCUGGUGGAGCCUCUGUCUCACAGGUCACCUGCAGGCCAACACUCCCAGAAGCAGCUAGCACCAUGGUUGACCUCGUCCAGGUCCAGGGAAGGCCUCCCUCUCCAGGACUCCUUUAGAUUUCCCCAGCAUCCAGACCUCACCUGCCUAAGUGCUGUUGCCCUGGAAGCCACAGUGAGCACGAGCUCCAUCUUGCACCUUUACCAGCCAAUGGGGGUAAAGACAUUAGCUGAAAUACUUCUAAGGGGCCAGGCGUGGUGACUCAUGCUUGUAAUUCCAAGCACUUUGGGAGGCUGAGGCAGGUGGAUCACCUGAAGCCAGGAGUUCAAGAGCAGCCUGGCCAACAUGGCGAAACCCUGUCUCUACUAAAAAUACAAAAUUUAGCCAGGCAUGGUGGCGGGAGCCUGUAAUCUCAGCUCCUAGGGAGGCUGAGCCAGAAGAAUCGCUUAAACCUGGAAGCUGGAGGUUGCAGUGAGCCAAGAUCACACCACCACACUCCAGCCUGGGUGACAGAGCAAGACUCCAUCUCAAAAAGAAAAAAAAGAAAAAAAGGAAAUACUUCUAAGUUAUGUGAGAGAGUACAUACUGACAUUUUCAAUGGGUACAAUAA